UGGUCUGUCUAGGUUGUCUGCAUGUAAAAGAAAGUGUUUCCUUGCCACUGUUGCACCAAGUGCUUGCUCGUGGGAAAUUGUUGCAUCUUUGUAAGUUAUAGUGUGGUCUACACCUACUCUAUCCGUAAAGUCUUGUUCUGAUUUG